rnacentral:lncRNA from 1 species
CAGCAACAGCAGCAACGACGAUCAAAGGAGCUGACACCGCAAGACAUGCCUUCCCAACACAGCUGCUGGCCCCAUUCUUUGACCCACCACUCGACUCGAUGUUCUCGCUAGAUGAGGCCACGACCCAUCCGACGGUCGUCACCUUCAAAUUCCCAGCACACUCCGCAUGCCAACUCCAACGAUCACCUGUCUCCUCUCUCUUGACGGGCUCCACA